GACGAACGCUGGCGGCGUGCUUAACACAUGCAAGUCGAACGGAAAGGCCCUGCUUUUGUGGGGUGCUCGAGUGGCGAACGGGUGAGUAACACGUGAGUAACCUGCCCUUGACUUUGGGAUAACUUCAGGAAACUGGGGCUAAUACCGGAUAGGAGCUCCUGCUGCAUGGUGGGGGUUGGAAAGUUUCGGCGGUUGGGGAUGGACUCGCGGCUUAUCAGCUUGUUGGUGGGGUAGUGGCUUACCAAGGCUUUGACGGGUAGCCGGCCUGAGAGGGUGACCGGCCACAUUGGGACUGAGAUACGGCCAAGACUCCUACGGGAGGCAGCAGUGGGGAAUAUUGCACGAUGGGCGGAAGACUGAUGCAGCAACGCCGCGUGCGGGAUGACGGCCUUCGGGUUGUAAACCGCUUUCGCCUGUGACGAAGCGUGAGUGACGGUAAUGGGUAAAGAAGCACCGGCUAACUACGUG
rnacentral:rRNA from 1 species